CCGUCUUCCGGAAGCCCAGCGGCGGACUCGCUAGAACUGGGUGCGCUACAGCGGCCAUGUCGGACACAGCAGAAAAAGAUAGGACUGACAGGGACGCGGGCCUGGCUCCCACGCGGAGGUGGGGCAUCAUGGACGAAGCUGGCAGCUCUGCGAGCGGCGGAGGCUUCCGCCCGGGAGUGGACAGCCUGGACGAACCGCCCAACAGCCGCAUCUUUCUGGUGAUCAGCAAGUACACGCCCGAGUCUGUGCUGAGGGAGCGCUUCUCGCCUUUCGGCGAGAUCCAGGACAUCUGGGUGGUGAGGGACAAGCACACUAAGGAGUCCAAGGGCAUUGCCUUCGUCAAGUUCGCCCGCAGCUCGCAGGCCUGCAGGGCUAUGGAAGAGAUGCACGGACAGUGCCUUGGCCCCAACGACAUCAAGCCCAUCAAGGUUUUCAUUGCUCAGUCCAGAUCAUCUGGAAGUCACCGAGAUGUCGAAGAUGAAGAACUUACAAGAAUCUUUGUUAUGAUACCAAAGUCCUAUACAGAAGAAGACCUACGGGACAAAUUUAAGGUGUAUGGAGAUAUCGAGUAUUGCAGCAUUAUUAAGAAUAAAGUCACUGGAGAAAGUAAAGGUUUGGGCUACGUACGAUAUUUAAAACCAUCACAAGCUGCCCAAGCAAUAGAAAACUGUGAUCGAAGUUUUAGAGCAAUCUUGGCCGAACCUAAAAAUAAAGCAUCUGAAUCCUCAGAACAGGAUUAUUAUAGUAAUAUGAGGCAAGAGGCUUUGGGACAUGAACCUAGAGUAAAUAUGUUUCCAUUUGGAGAACAACAACCUGAAUUUUCAAGUUUUGACAAGAAUGACAACAGAGGCCAGGAAGCUAUCUCCAAACGCCUGUCAGUUGUUUCAAGGGUUCCUUUCACUGAAGAGCAGCUUUUCAGCAUUUUUGAUAUAGUACCAGGAUUGGAGUAUUGUGAAGUCCAACGAGAUCCUUAUUCAAAUUAUGGCCAUGGAGUGGUUCAGUAUUUUAAUGUAGCAUCAGCUAUUUAUGCAAAAUACAAGUUACAUGGAUUUCAGUACCCUCCUGGAAACCGGAUAGGUGUUUCCUUCAUUGACGAUGGGAGUAAUGCAACAGAUCUCCUUAGAAAAAUGGCAACACAGAUGGUAGCUGCACAGCUUGCAUCAAUGGUGUGGAAUAACCCAAGUCAACAGCAAUUUCUGCAAUUUGGAGGAAGUUCUGGAUCCCAGUUGCCUCAAAUCCAGACAGAUGUUAUACUUCCAUCAUGCAAAAAGAAAGCUCCUCCUGAAACUCCUGUGAAAGAAAGACUUUUUAUUGUGUUUAAUCCUCAUCCUUUACCUUUAGAUGUGUUAGAAGAUAUAUUCUGUCGUUUUGGUAACCUGAUUGAAGUUUACCUUGUGUCAGGAAAAAAUGUGGGUUAUGUCAAGUAUGCAGAUAGAAUAAGCGCUAAUGAUGCCAUUGCUACUUUACAUGGAAAGAUUCUAAAUGGGGUCAGACUUAAAGUUAUGCUCGCGGAUUCCCCAAGAGAAGAAUCUAACAAAAGACAAAGAACUUACUGAUCCUUGAGAAAUUCAAUACCUGCUUGCAUCAUCCUUCUGAAAACAGUAACUCAAGAGCACAUGGAUCUUGGGAACUGAAGGUAUCCCCAAUGAAGACAACUAAACAAACAAUAUUCAGUUAAGAACCCAUCCAAAGAACCUCUGCUACACAUUUUAAAUGCCAUUUGGAAUGGAACAGUGUCUACAAGAAGUUUUUGUAGUUCAGCAUUUCUCUACUCAUCCAAACUGAAGGUAACAGAAUGGCAUCCUGGGAUAUACAGUGUACUACUUAUUUGUCCUUCCUGGAAAAAAAACAAAACAAAACUUACUUGAAUAUUAUCACCACACUACCAAAGUAAGUCCAAAUUAAGAAUAGAAGAAUUAAGAGUUAAAGACAAACUGGUGAGUAUUGAAGCCAGUGAAACUAUUAUUAUUUGUCUAUUCUAAAAUUUCUAAAAUGGGGUGUAGAGCCUCAGAAUAAAUUAAUGAAGGCUGAAAAGAAAUGUUAGUUUCUUUGGGGGUCAGGGGUUGAGUUAAGGGGUAAAAUACUUAUUUUCUAUAAAGAGGAAACAUUCUGGUUUUUAUUUUGAUAAUUUAAAUUUAAGAUUAAGAAUCCUUUGAAAUCUAAGGUGAUUAAUGAUAAAAUUAACAACAAUGUCUCCUUUUCAAAUCCUUCAAAAAUACAAAAAUAAUAUUGUAUACUUGACAAAAAUCAGAAGGGAAAAACAAAAUGCAACAUCAAAACUGUAAAUUGUUUAAAUACUAAAAACAAAAUGGAAAGAUUUGCUUCUUCCAAGAGCAUCUGUAAAUCAAGGUUUAUCAUCACCCAACAAAAAGUAUCUCUGAGUACAAUUUAAGGGAGAAAGAAGAGGAAUUAUAUUCACUUAUAGAAUUAUAAUCAGUAGCGAAGACAACAGACCCCUAACAUUUAUAUGCAGAAUAAUACAGGAUUAAAACAAAAGUACAAAAGCCUUUAAAAUAGUUUAGAAAUUAUAAUGGAGGGCUUCGCAUGUUCUCUGAACUGUCAUUAACAGAAAUGAACUAGGAGAGAGAAAUUACCCUUAAAAAUGAAAAAAAAUAUAUAGUGAUAAAAAAGCAAAAUUUUGACAUGUGUAGAAAAAGAAGAUAAAAACCUUUUCUCACAAAUUAAACAGGAAUGUUGAAUGAUAAUGGCAGCGGGGUAUUCCGAAAUAUGUCUUAGCUUCUGCAUGUCAGCUGAUUUAGAGUAUUUAUAGCAGGAUAAAAAACAAAAUGACAAAAACCCACCUUAAGUAUGUUUUUUCCAGCCUCUUUGUUAAGUACCCUGGUCUUUCAAGGACAUCUCUUACCCUCUCCUCAGCGUAAGGCUUAUUAACCUUCUUGGAUCGCCUAGAGAAAUGAAAUGGGUCUAACAUUUGGUGCCCAACUGCCAGACAUUAUUUCAGCCUCUGAACAGACUUUUAAGAGCUAAAAGCAAAGCUUGAAGCUUGAUAAUUGCCCUGUAUUGCCUUUUAAAGGACAGAAAUUGUACAAGACUUGCUCUUUGACUCCCAAGGUAAUAAAAUUCAAAAAACAAUCACAAUCACCAGGAAAACAAUUUUAAAACCCUCUUCUAAACAGCUUUUUGUUAAGGAAGAAAAUUUCAAUAAAAGUGUUAGAAUAAAGUAGCAAAAAAAUUUAAAAUGUCUAAAAGCCACAUUGGUAGCUUUAUUUGGAAGGAAAAAAUAAAUCAAUUAAAACAUACAAUACAAGAAACAAAAGUAACAUGACAAAAGUGAGACUAAUAAAUCAGUUUGAAAACAAUAAAUAGGCAUCUCUUGGCAACUGUAUUUUUUAAAAUCAUAAUUAAAUAUUAAAGGUAAUGAAAAAUAUAGAGAUUAUUAAAUAUAAAUGCUAUUUUCAAAUUUCUUGAAAAUUAGAAAAUCCAAACAGGUCAAUGAUCAAAGAAAAAACUCAGGUAGUAAUUGAUGAAUUGUGUUUUUUUGAUGAAUCCAUAUAACUUCAUCCUUCUUUCAUAGUUUCAAGAUGCAUAUUAUUAUAAGAAUAUAACGGUAUGUUUUUCCUAUAUCAGAAAAGGUGAGUAUAUACAUUUUACUUUGUGUAAUUGUUACCCUGACAUUAAAACUUUAAAAAGCAAUUAAAAUCAAAAAUAUAGAUUCUUUUUUCACCUAUGAAUAUGGAUGCAAACAAAUCUAAACAAACUAUUACAAAGUAUAAAUAUGUUCAAAGAAUAAGUCACCAUUGGCAAGUAAUUUUUACCCUUUGAUGAAAAAGCAGUUCUCAUUAACGAAAAAAAACAAUAAUAAAAUACAUAUGAUAAAACUAUAGUAAGUUCUAUUUGCCUAAAUUGAUCACUUGUUCAUUCUUGUGAUUGUCCAGGGAUUAUUUAGAUUAUGCAUAGUUUACUUGAAUGUCACUAGCUGGAAGAAUAGGGUUAACCUGGUUGUUGAAAUUAGUUAGUAUCCAACCUUCACCCUCAAUUACAUGGCUGCAAUAAAAUGGGAAGGGCCAGAAAGGGAUGUUGGUGAGGCAUCCAUUGCUUCGUAGAAGGAUACAUGUAUUGAGCCCUUAUGUUUUUUGUCAGGCAUUGAUCAUUGCUUUACAUACAUCUUAAAACCCUGUGAGGUAAGUAGCAUUUUAUUUAAUUUCACUUAUUGUUUAUGGAUUUAGCUUUGUGGUGCUAGGGGUCAAACCCAGGGCCUUGAAUGUGUUAGGUAAGUGCUCUAAUACUAAAUAACAGGCCUAGUCUGUAAGUACUAUUUUUCAAGCAAGAAGCUGAGGUAGAGAUGAAGUAACUUUUUUUCCAAGGUCACAUAGCUAGCAAAUGGUGAAGCUGGGCUUCAGAUACAGGUUAUCUUAAAGUUCAUACUCAGUCUCUACACUGAACAUCAAAGGGUAUAAUAAAGAUCACAUUCAUGCACACUGAAUAUUAUGUAAUAACAAAUCUUUCCAUAACUAUGAGAUAGCCUGGGAAGAAUGCUUAUUGUUAUUUAGUGAAAGAAAGCAGGGAAACAACUUAUAAUAUUAUUAAGUAAUAAUGAAUUUGAAAAAAAGCCAUAUGGAUAUUUGUUUUUCACUAUUAUAUAUUUUCUCUUGGUAAACAUGUAUAGUUUUGUUUAAUCUUUUAAAAGUACACUAUUUUUCCUACUAUAUUAUAAGAUUUUUGUCAACAAAGACUGUGUUUUUAUUUCUAUAAGCUGAAACCCAGCUAUACCCUUACACAUUAAAGUCACAAAAUGAAUUUUCAUCCAUUUGUACUAUAAAAUAAAAGAUUCCUGUUUCUUCUACUGUAGAGAUUCUGAAAAGAAGUCUGUAUUCUCUAUAGAUGUACUAAUAUUUGUUUAGAUGCCAUCUUUUCAAACUGAGAUCUUAUAGGUUCAUUUUUAAAAAUUCAACUUUUAUUUCAAUUUUAGGUUUUUGUUGUCUUGUGCAAUUUUAUGAGUGCCAAAUUCACAGUCCACAUACAAAUUUUGAUUUUAAAUAACAUUUAUUAUUCUUACUUUAUUCUGAGAAUUGUAAAAUAUUUUACAUUUAAUCAUGUAAAUAAUUUUAUGAAAUUAUAUCAUGAAGCACAGAGAAAUUACUUCACCAGGACACAAAGCAAGUAAGUAACAGACCUGGGAUUUGCACUCAGAGAAUAUGGCUGAUGGUCUCCAUUAAAUUUACACACUGUUUAAUUCAACCACUGUUCUCUUUUGUUGUUAAGAAGAAAGUACUAUAAUCUGUAUCCUAAAAGGAGAGCAUGUAAUGAAAAAAUCAUUCAUUCCAGUGUAUGACCUCUCGAGACAGUGAGAUGGAAGGAAAAGGUGAGAAAAGUAUAAUUGACAGGAGGUGAAAGCAAGAGAAAAGGAUUACAGGCUGCAAGGAGAUGACUCAGUGACUUUGAGUCAAAGUGUUUGUUCCUUUUUGGUGGUGCAGAUUUAUUCAACAUCAUAUAUUGAGCACCUCACUACAGGGUGUUGAGGACACAAUAGAGAAAGAGGAAGAGAAACGUUAGUGUCCUUAUUUUAUGUAGUUUAGUCUAAUUAUAACAUACCUAGGAGAAAUAAUGUGUGGUGGGGGAUCAGCCGCUACUUUGAAUAAGGCAAGCUGGCUCCCCCCAAACCUGUCAAUUUUAAAUGAUUCAUCAAAACAAAAUAAUUCUUCUACUAUCAUCCUUAAUCUCUCCACAACUAAUUUUUUAUAUAUUUGUAAAAAUUUUGUACAUAGAACUGUGGUAUAGUACACCAUACCACACACUCGUGUAACCCAUUAUUUCAUGGGUCUCAGUGUUUCUGCUUGUCUUCCAAGCAGAGGGACUGGCUCACUUUUUAAGGAUGUUUGUGUUGUGAGCAGUCCUGAAAUGCAGGAGCAAAAGGCAGAUUUGUUUACUGUCCAGAAUUAUAAAGAUAAUUUGUCCCUCCAGGACAAAGGAUUAGCAAAAUUACCACCCUUUAUAAAUGAUUCAGGUUCCCCAAGUUUGGCAUUCUGCUAAGACACAAACUUGCUAUGUGCACAGCAUCCAUCUGAACUCCUCUUCACACCUGUAAAACUGAGGAACCUGUGCAUACAUAAAACUCAUACUUCUUAUUACACUGUGAAUAAUAAAGUCCUUUAUCUUUGAUGCAAGAAUUCUGUGUGUUCUACCAACAUCCAUAAGACAUUAGUAGACUAAUUUUGUUAUCUUGCAAGCAAGAUAAAAUCUUAGACCCUUCACAGUUUUUGAUAACCACACCUCUUGAAGAUAUAGAUUCUUUCCAGGAAGCAACAAGUUCCCACAUGUCCUCUUGCCUUUUCUAGAACAUUGCAUAAAUGGAACCACACAUUAUAUUCUCUUUUGUGUUUAUCUAUUUUCACUCAGCUUAAGAUUUUUGAGAAUUAUGAUUGCCAUUAUAUCAGUGGUUCAUUUCUUUUCAUGGCUGAGUGAGUGUUCCAAUGUCAAAAUGACCCUCAAUUUGUUUCCAUUCCUCUGAUGAUGGAUGUUUGGGUUUCCAGUUUGAGGAUAAAACUGCUGUAAACAUUCACAUGGUUAGUACUAUUUUAUCAUUUACAGGAUAUUGGAACUAAAUUGUUGUAGAGACUCUGGAUUCUGUUACCCUCCAAAGAGUUUAAUUUUUGUUCUAGCAGACCCUUAGCUUGUCUGGAACCGUAUUUAUGACUCUUUUGCAAUAGGAAGCAAUUAAAAUUUCUGUCUGAAUUUUCAGCCAUCCAGCUGUUGUUUUCUACAUACCAUCACCCAUGGUAGAUGCCCGUGCACAUGCAGUCAGAAUCAGCCAAAACUUGGAGAUCUGUGAGAUUUAGGAACUCCCUGUUUUGUGACUCUGCCUUUCUGAGGUCCUUCCUUGGUUUUAAGUUGCUUGCGUACCCCAAACUCUGUCCAUUGAUACUCAGUCCAUUAAGACUGCUCCUGUCUGCUUGAGUUCUAGCAUCCAUGUACUCAGGCAGAAGUUUUAUAAAUGCAAAUAUCACCCACUGUCAUUCAAUGCUUACCCACCUCAGUUUCUGCCUGCUUUUUGUCAGUUCUCAUAUACCUUUAGAUAAAUUUUUUCAUGAGUUGCCCCAAGUUUAUAAUUGUUGAAGGAGACUUAGUCUGAUAAAAGUUUCUCUACCAUUUCCA